UUUUGUUUGGUGGUGAGAGUGGCGAACGGGUGAGUAAUGCGUGACUAACCUGCCGUAUGGUUGGGGAUAGCUCCUGGAAACGGGUGGUAAUACCCAAUGCUCCAGCUGGAUGCAUGUCUGGUUGGGAAAGCUGUUGUGCCAUAUGAUGGGGUCGCGUCCUAUCAGCUUGUUGGUGGGGUGAUGGCCUACCAAGGCGUCGACGGGUAGCCGGCCUAAGAGGGCGACCGGCCACAUUGGGACUGAGAUACGGCCCAGACUCCUACGGGAGGCAGCAGUGGGGAAUAUUGCACAAUGGGCGCAAGCCUGAUGCAGCGACGCCGCGUGCGGGAUGGAGGCCUUCGGGUUGUAAACCGCUUUUAUAGGGGGGCAAGCUAUGCCUGUGUGGUGUGGUGAGUGGACUUUAUGAAUAAGCACCGGCUAACUACGUGCCAGCAGCCGCGGUAAUACGUAGGGUGCAAGCGUUGUCCGGAUUUAUUGGGCGUAAAGGGCUCGUAGGCGGUUUGUUGCGUCUGGUGUGAAAGCUUACUGCUUAACGGUAGGUUGCGCUGGAUACGGGCAGGCUUGAGUGCAGUAGGGGAGACUGGAAUUCUCGGUGUAACGGUGGAAUGUGUAGAUAUCGGGAAGAACACCUAUGGCGAAGGCAGGUCUCUGGGCUGUUACUGACGCUGAGGAGCGAAAGCGUGGGGAGCGA
rnacentral:rRNA from 1 species